GCCCGGCGUAAAGAGUGGUUAAGUUAGAAUUUUACUAAAGCCGAACAUCCUCACGGCUGUUAUACGCACCCGAGGAUAAGAAGCUCAACCACGAAGGUAGCUUUAUUUGUCUGAACCCACGAAAGCUACGGCACAAACUGGGAUUAGAUACCCCACUAUGCCUAGCCCUAAACAUUGAUAGUACCCCACACCCGCUAUCCGCCUGGGGACUACGAGCAGCAGCUUAAAACCCAAAGGACUUGGCGGUGCUUUAAACCCACCUAGAGGAGCCUGUUCUAGAACCGAUAGCCCCCGUUCAACCUCACCUUUCCUUGUUUUUCCCGCCUAUAUACCGCCGUCGUCAGCUUACCCUGUGAAGGUCUAAUAGUAAGCAAACUGGCUU
rnacentral:rRNA from 1 species